GACGUAGGGUGCAAGCGUUGUCCGGAAUUAUUGGGCGUAAAGAGCUCGUAGGCGGUCUGUCGCGUCUGCUGUGAAAACUCAGGGCUUAACCCUGAGCUUGCAGUGGGUACGGGCAGACUAGAGUGCGGUAGGGGAGACUGGAAUUCCUGGUGUAGCGGUGAAAUGCGCAGAUAUCAGGAGGAACACCGGUGGCGAAGGCGGGUCUCUGGGCCGUAACUGACGCUGGAGGAGCGAAAGCGUGGGGAGCGAACAGG
rnacentral:rRNA from 1 species